UGGGGAAUUUUGGACAAUGGGCGCAAGCCUGAUCCAGCCAUGCCGCGUGAGUGAAGAAGGCCUUCGGGUUGUAAAGCUCUUUCGGUGGGGACGAAAAGGUUCGUGCUAAUACCACGGACUAAUGACGGUACCCGAAGAAGAAGCACCGGCUAACUACGUGCCAGCAGCCGCGGUAAUACGUAGGGUGCAGGCGUUAAUCGGAAUUACUGGGCGUAAAGCGUGCGCAGGCGGUUUGUUAAGACAGAUGUGAAAUCCCCGGGCUUAACCUGGGAACUGCGUUUGUAACUGGCAAGCUAGAGUGUGGCAGAGGGGGGUGGAAUUCCAAGUGUAGCAGUGAAAUGCGUAGAUAUUUGGAGGAACACCGAUGGCGAAGGCAGCCCCCUGGGCUAACACUGACGCUCAUGCACGAAAGCGUGGGGAGCAAACAGGAUUAGAUACCCUGGUAGUCCCUGAGCGGGCUGGCAAGGCG
rnacentral:rRNA from 1 species